AAAUUGAAGAGUUUGAUCAUGGCUCAGAUUGAACGCUGGCGGCAGGCCUAACACAUGCAAGUCGAACGGUAACAGGAAGCAGCUUGCUGCUUUGCUGACGAGUGGCGGACGGGUGAGUAAUGUCUGGGAAACUGCCUGAUGGAGGGGGAUAACUACUGGAAACGGUGGCUAAUACCGCAUAACGUCGCAAGACCAAAGAGGGGGACCUUCGGGCCUCUUGCCAUCAGAUGUGCCCAGAUGGGAUUAGCUGGUUGGUGAGGUAACGGCUCACCAAGGCGACGAUCCCUAGCUGGUCUGAGAGGAUGACCAGCCACACUGGAACUGAGACACGGUCCAGACUCCUACGGGAGGCAGCAGUGGGGAAUAUUGCACAAUGGGCGCAAGCCUGAUGCAGCCAUGCCGCGUGUAUGAAGAAGGCCUUCGGGUUGUAAAGUACUUUCAGCGGGGAGGAAGGUGUUGUGGUUAAUAACCGCAGC
rnacentral:rRNA from 2 species